rnacentral:rRNA from 1 species
GAGUUUGAUCCUGGCUCAGGACGAACGCUGGCGGCGUGCCUAAUACAUGCAAGUCGAACGAACUCUGGUAUUGAUUGGUGCUUGCAUCAUGAUUUACAUUUGAGUGAGUGGCGUACUGGUGAGUAACACGUGGGAAACCUGCCCAGAAGCGGGGGAUAACACCUGGAAACAGAUGCUAAUACCGCAUAACAACUUGGACCGCAUGGUCCGAGCUUGAAAGAUGGCUUCGGCUAUCACUUUUGGAUGGUCCCGCGGCGUAUUAGCUAGAUGGUGGGGUAACGGCUCACCAUGGCAAUGAUACGUAGCCGACCUGAGAGGGUAAUCGGCCACAUUGGGACUGAGACACGGCCCAAACUCCUACGGGAGGCAGCAGUAGGGAAUCUUCCACAAUGGACGAAAGUCUGAUGGAGCAACGCCGCGUGAGUGAAGAAGGGUUUCGGCUCGUAAAACUCUGUUGUUAAAGAAGAACAUAUCUGAGAGUAACUGUUCAGGUAUUGACGGUAUUUAACCAGAAAGCCACGGCUAACUACGUGCCAGCAGCCGCGGUAAUACGUAGGUGGCAAGCGUUGUCCGGAUUUAUUGGGCGUAAAGCGAGCGCAGGCGGUUUUUUAAGUCUGAUGUGAAAGCCUUCGGCUCAACCGAAGAAGUGCAUCGGAAACUGGGAAACUUGAGUGCAGAAGAGGACAGUGGAACUCCAUGUGUAGCGGUGAAAUGCGUAGAUAUAUGGAAGAACACCAGUGGCGAAGGCGGCUGUCUGGUCUGUAACUGACGCUGAGGCUCGAAAGUAUGGGUAGCAAACAGGAUUAGAUACCCUGGUAGUCCAUACCGUAAACGAUGAAUGCUAAGUGUUGGAGGGUUUCCGCCCUUCAGUGCUGCAGCUAACGCAUUAAGCAUUCCGCCUGGGGAGUACGGCCGCAAGGCUGAAACUCAAAGGAAUUGACGGGGGCCGC